GGAGGGGAGACCAGCAGGCACACCCUUCUCUCUGCACCCUUCCCAAAGAUGGAUCGUGGGUGGGGAAAACCUCAUGAAUCCUCUCCCCCUUCGUUAGGACAACAUGACUUAGAUUCGCUGCUUCUGAAGUCAAUGAGAGCCGCCAGCUUCCUUCCAGAAGCCCAGGGUUAGGGUGCAGGGAGGCGGGGCAGUGAAGAGCUGCACAGAUCCCCCGGGGAGUGUGCGCCUCUCAGAGGUUAAUUCGCUGGGUUGACGGAUGGAUUGCACAAUGUGCUUAUUUAUAAUAUUUACACUCACUUACGGCGAGAGGAACAUUCUGGCCCAGGGCCGUUUAUCUCAUUCCUUUUGGAAGCACUUCCUCGAUUUAACUAACGAGGAGAGGGCUCACUACAUAAUUUACAGCCCUGCUUUGUCGACACACCACCUCUCCACAGAGAACAUUCGCGUGUGCCACCAGAGUGAGUGGCUUAUUGCCUCAGAGCAUGAGGCAGGCCUGGCUCUGUGGUCAGGCAGAACGGCGGUCUGGGCCUGCAGAGUUGAUGUAGGAGGGGCUGACAGGAGCCGUGCAGAGCUGGUACAAGCAUUGCCCAGUGGCCACAGCUAAUGAGAUCAUUUGACUUGAACAUCCUCCGGAAAGUAAAGUGAACCCACCAGCAAGAGUUGAUCUCAGCUCCCAAAGAAAUGUCCAUGGAACAGCUCCUCGAGCCAAUGUGGUACCGAGCAUCCCAGAGCAUCUGCGAAGCACCCCAGAUGCAGAGGGGGUGAGGAAAGGAAGAGAAGGGGAGGAAAGGGAGGAAGGGAGAGGAGAAAGGGUAGGAUCCAGGAGACAGGCAGACUGUGGGGCCUUCCGCCUGACAUCUGGCAGAUGCCGCAUUGUUGUUUCUGGGCUGGGCUGCUCCUCCGCCUCUCAGACAGCCUGCAAGGCCCGUAAAUCUGCUCUGUGUGGAGUCCAGGACGUAGCUGAGGCUCUCAGGCAAGCAGGAAGAGCUGGGAGGCAGGGAGCGCUGAGCUGAUGGGCCACAGAGGGGACAUUAUUGGAAAGAGUCUACCCAGCUUCAAACAAAAACACAUUCCAGGAGCAAGCCUGCGGAUCGGCGUCUCAGCGCGAAGCGGGCUGCUCCCGGUGGGCCCGACCUGACAUCACCCUCCUUCAAAAGUGGGGAAAGCAAGUGAGGCGGUGGCUGUGUGUGACAGAGAGCGUCCGUGUGAGCGAGGCUCUUAGGGAAAAAGUUUUGAAAUGUCUGCAAGGGGGCCGCUGGUCUCCACACUGGAAGAGAGGCAGAAGGGGAAUGGAGCUCAAAUUGGUCGCCGGGUGGGGGAGCACCCUUUAGACAGAAUUCCUAAAUGCCUGGAAGUGAUCCCACCAGGAGGGGCCGGCCUUCCAGCCCCGCCCCAGCUGUGAGUUACGACUCAGAGUCAUCAACACCGUGUAAGGGAAAGAGCACUGAACCGUGAGUCCCGAUCGUUGCUGGAGCGGAAUGGACUUGAGAAAACGCUCCUUUCCUGGCCUCAGUUUCCCAUAGUUUUCAAGCCGAGCCCUGAGCGGUGUGGGGUUCCGGCGGAGCCCGCAGGCUCUGAUGGGCAGGGUCUACCCCCACUCCCCU
rnacentral:lncRNA from 1 species